AGAAAGUGUUGAAGAUGGUCAUGGACAAGACGUUUGGUUACAGACUCACUCUGAAAUAGCUUUUUUAAAAGAGGUAUUGAUGAUCGACUGGAGAAGGAUUUUAUCUUACAUACUCGACCGUUGUAGGUGUACCAUGUUAAUGAAAAAACCAUGAAUGUAGUUAUUAUCCUGUCUUAUGCCAAUCAUAAGUUUAAAGUUCGACAUCUCUCUAUGAAUCACAAGAGCAAGGCUUCCUGUUAACUGACUAUCUUUAUUUUUAACUCAAGCAACGUUGGAGCCAUCCCUGCAGUGAAUACACUCAUCAAGAUUCUAUAUCAUUCCUUCCUUGAUGCCUAUCAUUAUUAGAGACAUUUCUCUUCAUUUAUUUAUGAUGCCUAAUACGUCUUUCUGUCCACUUUGUAUUUGUUUUGUUUCUUCUGAAGAUUAAGAUAUGCUUUAAUAUUGGCUUGAUUUGUUUAUCGAAUUUUGAAGAUUUCCUUUGGAAAUAGUGUUAUAUGAAUGCUAUUAUAAAUUGAAUUCCCUCUAAGUAAUCAGGGAGAACGUACUGAUCAAACUAUGUACCAAAUUGUGAAGCAUACUUAUAUUAUCAUGCCUAUGGAUUCAUCACAACUCAUAGGAGACUUAUUAAGAUAUAUUUUGAGAUAGUUUGAACAGUCCAUAAUGAAUUGAAUCAACAUGAAAUUAUUGAUCGGAGAUUGAAGCUGUGAUCAAAGUCAAUAUUCACUUAUUUAAUGAAAUUUAUGAUGCAGAUGGGCAAUAUUCUAUCUCUCCUCCAAAACAUUCUUCAAUGGCACUGUCAUGGUUACCAUCUUGAUUUUCGGUUUCUUAUUUUUUAACAUGGCCAUUCAACACUGGAUUUUCCUCAUUGAGCAUGAAGAUGUAGCUGAUUAUUU
rnacentral:lncRNA from 1 species